UGUAUGACUAUGUAUAAAUAUAUGAGGUGUAAGUCUGAAAUUUUCUAUAAUUUUUCCAAACAGUUCUAUUCUACUUCACUUUAAGAAAAACAAAAAGUCAUUGUUUGCAACCCAAGAUAGUAAAUUAUUACCAAAGAAGUUAAAAGUUGAAUACUUUGCUGGAGUAGUAAAAGUUUUUUACUUCAGUAAUGAUAAGAUAGUUAUAGGGAAUGUAAAAGUUGCUGCUACUUAUGCGAGUAAACUAAAUAUGUGUAAUCUUUAGCUAGAAUAGAUAACCAAUCUGAUAUUUUUAGUAGAAACUGAAAUUUUCAAUUUUUAAUAAAUUCGUAAAAAAAUGAAUAUUCACAGAAAAAAAAAUUUUUUGGCGCGAAAUUUUUAUUUGAAAAAUUGAGAACAUCUGGAAAAUCGCAAUAUUCUGAGUGAAAAUUUAAAAAUUGACGUCAAAAAAAUGGUCCAUUGUAUAGUUUGAAAAAACUGGAUAUUUUUCCAUGCUGGCGAAGAAUAACGUGGAAAAAAAAAUUUAUAAAAAAAAAUGGAGGGCAAGUGCUCAUCUUGUUCGUAUUAUAUAGAUGAGUAAAGUUGGUCCGACCGGUCCAGUCUGGUUCGGCUUAAACCUCAGACAUAAACAGUCAAUGAACUCGACGGAAAAUUUCAAGGGAUCAAUGUUAUGACCGAAAAAAAUUUUGAAUAAAAAUGAU